UUAAUUAGAUAUUUUUACUUAAAUUUGUAUUAUUAAGUGUUGUGCUAGGCUGCUAGCUUUAGUAAACAUCAAAAAGAAUGUAAUUUAAAAUAAGUAAGCUUAAAUCGAUGACGCACUAUAUAUAUAACAACAACCCUUGAGCCAGGAAACAUUAGUGGUGAGGAUAAAAACAACUCCCAAAAUAAAUUAUUUUUUUCAGAUUUAGUUAGGUUUCUUUGUCACUCAUAACUGUCUUGCGAAAUUAGAUUCUUGUGCUGAAAGAAACCUUAAAAUUGUUUACCUUUUCUCUUUCCGGAGAGGGUUUAUAUUUUAUCAUAAGUUUAGGAUCAUAUUCAAUGGAGAUCAAAGCUGAAACGAUGCAAAAGUCAAAGUUCAAAAGAAUAUGUGUCUUUUGUGGAAGCAGCCAAGGCAAGAAGAGUAGUUACCAAGAUGCUGCUGUAGAUCUCGGCAACGAACUGGUCUCAAGGAAAAUUGAUCUAUGUUAGGAUUUUAACCUUAACCUUGUGCUAUAGAAUUAGGAAUAAACUUGAUACCAAACUUGUCUUAGCUUUUAUUCACUACAAAGGUUUCUCAAGAACAAAAUAUAAAGAUCACAAGCCUAAGCAAUAAACGCUCUUCCUAAUUGCUAAUCUCUCUUGAUCUCUCUUUAUCUAACUUAUUGCUCUCUUCUCUCUUCUUAAACGGAUGAUCUUUGUUGUUGUUGAAGCUUUCCUUAUAUAGUCACGACCUAGACCGAAUCCUCUUUGUAAAAGGAUUAUUUCCAUUCUCUUAAAUUGGUAAAGCACGAGACCGUCAUUAACGUAAUCAGAAACUUGCCGCCAAAGUAAUCUUUUGGUAUUGGGCUUAAAGUAGAAUUUGGCCCAUAUCAUUACAAUCUCCACCUUGGGCCCAAAUCCAUACUUCUCCUUUUGCGUCUUCUUCGUUGAGCAACAAUACCAACUCUUCUCUGUAGCUUUGACGAUCAUAGUGAUUCUUACCCAACCACUACCUCCACUUUUCUCCGCUCUGGUUCCUUUGGCAAACAAAGCUAGCGAUUUCAGGAGCUUCACCAAGCUUUCCCUCCGUUUCCGCGUGACUGGUCCGUCUUCUCUUCUCCACUCCAGCCGGUGAAUUCAUCCCCCUUGUGAAUCUUGCCGAUAAAUUCUCUCGCCAAUGCUCUGAUUUGUUCACCGCUUCCUCUUCUCAGGCGCUAGCUUGCAACGCCUCAACCGUAGAUGUGCAUGCUCACCCUCGUAUGGCUUCCUGGUCAUGUCCUUUUUGUUUUCUUUAGAAUCAGACUCUUCAGUUUGCACAGACGUCUCUCCACCAUGUAGCUUCCUUUGGUUUGAUGUAGACGGUUCCUUGCUACGACCAUGUAUUUUUCAGACCUUGUAUAGACUGUGUCGUCUAUAACCACCAUUCCUCAGAGCUUCUUGGAAAAGACUUUCAGUCUCCUCAGCGGUUUAAGACGAUCACUUCGCUUGUGCUUGUUCUGCGAUCUUGUAGUCCUGUAACCUGAGAUACUCGUCUCCCUUCACCAUUACUGGUGUUCAAGACGUUCUCUCAUCAACCUUCCCCUUCCUUGUAUGGCAACCCAGUUGGGAUUCCUUUCUAGCCUGAGAUACUCGUCUCCAUUCACCACUCUUGAUGUUUAAGACGUUCUCUCAUCUGCUCCACCUUGAGCUAAAACAUCCACCUCGUCUUAUCCGUCACAAGUAAAUUUUCUUGCUCCUUACUAGCUCUUUAUUAUCGAUAAGAAAUAACAGUAGUCCCUUACUCAUUAUUUCUUCUUGUGCGAGGUGUCUCGAUAAUAAAAUUACCUGUGACGCUUUUCUCCUAUCAGUGGACAUUAGGAAGUUCACAGCAAAGCUGCAACUUCUGAUCAG